rnacentral:lncRNA from 1 species
CAAGAAUUGAAGUUGCUGCAGACCCAUGUGGACUCACCACCACUAACAUAAUUUGGUGCUGUGACCCAGAUACAUUCCACUGCUAACAUACUUUGGUGCCACGUGACUCGGAUACAUUCCCUAGUGGCCAUCAAUAUCCAGAUGAUCCUCAGUGAGGGAUACCCUCCUGUCAAUAUUCAAGAGUCAUUCUUCUACAGAAGACCCUACACUGUCCAUAAGUGAGAAAUGACAGGGGCAAAACACUGCUGCUGUGUCCUUUGGACCUAACUGGAUAACACUUUCACUAACCCAUGGAGUUACUUUCAUGCCCUGAUAGCUAACAAGAGGCCAAGACUCACAGAACAACCACCACCACACCUGUCUGCAGUAAGCAAUUACCGAAGACAGAUCUUCGUCCAUUUGUCCUAAAGAAUUGGGGUCUUUGCGCCUUGAUGGGUGGAAUACUAUGGUAGGUAGCUAGUCAGACAUAAGCAGGGCAGAAGAGGGCCCCCUUCCCCAACCAGGAAUGUCAGGCAACCAUCACAUGAUGGUCAGGCAUUGUUAAACUGCCUCUGUAAAAUAAUUGUUCACAGCCCAUGCCAGAGAAAGGCAGUCUCUCAAUAAAAGGAAACACCUGAAACUGGGGACCAGCAGCUUCCCGAUAAGAUCUCAGGAGUUGGGUGAUUGGGCUUAAGGGUGUGCAUGAAGAAGCAAAACGGAAGAGUUUAACCGGCAUAUGACUUCCUUAGGACAUUUGACUGGUAAUGGAAGAACACCUCAAGUGAGCAUGUGUACAACUACAGUAAACACACUGCUCAUGCUUCCCUGCCAAACACCUGCAGGCCACUGCACAAGUAGAAAGCACACCCCAAGGGAAUUAUCAGGGGUGAAAGGAGAAAAGACCCCAAAAGUAUGCCAAUAUUUAAAGCCUUAAGUCAAAGGUCAAACCAUGCACUUGAUCUUUCAAGUCACCUACUUGGUACCUCUUCCAAAUGUACUUUACUUCCUUUCAAUCCUGCCCUAAAACUCUUUAAUAAAUUUAUCUCAUGCUCUAAAACAUACCUUGAUCUCUGCUUCUGCCUUAUGCCCCUCAGUUCUUUGUUCUAAACAGCCCUUUUUUUCUAAGGAGGCAAGAAUUGAGGUUGCUGCAGACGCCUACAUAUUUGUCGCCAGCAACAUACUUUGGUGCUGUGUGACUCAGAUAAAUUCCACUACUAACAUUUAUAGCAAAUUGUUCCAAUUUCUACUCCUGGACA